CUUUUCAAGUGAGAACAAAACGGGGCCCGGCUUAGAAUUGUAGAGAAAUAUCCAGGAUAUUUAGGAAGACUAAAACCGAAACAUCAUUAUUUGGUUCAUUACCCAGCUCAAAUUCUAGAGAUGGGGCCCCUGCUGCUGUCCAAACGGACAGCAAGGCCAGAAUCCUAACACAGAG